rnacentral:rRNA from 1 species
AUGUGUGAUUGGGAUACUACCUCCGCCAAUGUUUAUCACUAUCGUAUGCGUACCUUUAAUGGUUGUGUUAAACAAUAUGGUCUCUUUGAUCUUGGUUUUACUGGGCCUGCCUAUACUUGGAUGAACAAGCAUUUCUCUUCAGCCCAUGUGUUUUAAAGGCUUGACUGUUGUCUUGCAAAUGCCAAAUGGUGUGAUGUGUUUCCUAAUACAAUUGUUCUUAAUCUUCCAAUUAUUCUUAGUGAUCAUGUGCCCAUUCUUGUUUCUACCGAGUCUCAAUUUUGUAGGCCGAAGCUCAAUUUAAAUUUGAAAAUUGGCGGACCAUGGAAGAAGACUUCCAAAAUGUCGCAAAAUCUGCUUGGUGCUCCUCUGUUAAUCAAUAUUUCCAAUCUAGUACAACUAACCUUGCACGCACUCUUAAGAAAUGGUGCACAAAAAAAUACCAAUCCAGCAACUGCUAGGUACACUUCAAGAUCAAAUACAUUCGAUCCAAGAUCAACUGAUUCAAGACCAAGAACAUUGCUUGGAGGUAAAACUUGUUGUUUAAUAUGA